CGGUCACGCCACGUUAAAACACUAGUUCCUGUACGAUCACCAAAGUUAAGCAACAUCGAGCUUGUUCAGUAGCUAGAUGGGUGACCGUUUGGGAAUAUCAGUUGCUU